rnacentral:rRNA from 1 species
UACAGAGGGUGCAAGCGUUAAUCGGAAUUACUGGGCGUAAAGCGUGCGUAGACGGUUACAUAAGUCAGGUGUGAAAGCCCCGGGCUCAACCUGGGAAUUGCAUUUGAGACUGUGUAGCUAGGGUGCGGAAGAGGGAAGCGGAAUUUCCGGUGUAGCGGUGAAAUGCGUAGAUAUCGGGAGGAACACCAGUGGCGAAGGCGGCUACCUGGACCAGCACUGACACUGAAGCACGAAAGCGUGGGGAGCAAACAGG